UAGGGAAUAUUGCAAAAUGGGCGAAAGCCCGAUGCAGCAACGCCGCGUGGGCGAUGAAGGCCUUCGGGUCGUAAAGCCCUUUUUGAGGGGAUGAGGAAGGACAGUACCCUCAGAAUAAGCCUCGGCUAACUACGUGCCAGCAGCCGCGGUAAAACGUAGGAGGCGAGCGUUAUCCGGAUUUACUGGGCGUAAAGCGCGUGCAGGCGGAUUGGAGAGUUGGAUGUGAAAGCUCCCGGCUUAACUGGGAGGGGUCGUUCAAUACUUCCAGUCUUGAGUGCAGUAGAGGGGAGUGGAAUUCCCGGUGUAGUGGUGAAAUGCGUAGAUAUCCGGAGGAACACCAGUGGCGAAAGCGGCUUCCUGGACUGUAACUGACGCUCAGACGCGAAAGCUAGGGUAGCAAACG
rnacentral:rRNA from 1 species